rnacentral:rRNA from 1 species
UGUACGACUCUCGACAACGGAUAUCUAGGCUCUCGUACCGAUGAAGAACGUAGCAAAAUGCGAUACUUGGUUGUGAAUUACAGAAUCUCGUGAACCAUCGAGUCUUUGAACGCAAGUUGCGCCCGAGGCCUUCUGGCCGAGGGUAUGCCUGCCUUGGCGUCAAAC